UGGGCCCUCCUCUGAAUUUCUAACCGUAGUCACGUGGACCCCAUCUCCCACUGCAUAAAACGCUACAAAGCUCAUUCAUUACCGAACCUCUGAGGACUCUCAGAGAGAGAUAAUAUUAACCCCAAAAACUCUUAUAAAGGAGAUAAAAAAAAUGAAAAUUUCUAGGGUUUGACUGAGGGAAAAAAGAGAAAAAGAAAAAUUGCACCUCCUCCAAUCGCGUGAAGCCCACAACAGCGAUAGAGUCGUAGUGAGUCACUACUGGAAUCGCCGAUCUCUCCCUGUCCCUCCUCAGAUUCAUCUCCAUUUCCUCCCCGCAAUUUUCGUCUUUUUUAUAGUGAGGGAAAAUUCGACUAAAAAAAAUAAAAAAAUUAGAGAGAGUGGAUAGGCACAGAGAAGCUACAGCUGUGUGUAAUGUUUUGAACAUUGGGAUCGGAGGGUAAAAUUGGGGUUUCGUCAAAGUUUUGGAGGGAUUUGGCUUUUUCCUCUAUUUCUACUCCGUUUCUCCUUUUUUCUGAUUUUUCAUUUUCUGGGAAAAAUUUAAAAAGUUUGGUUUCAUUUGGGUGUUAAAUUUGCAUGCAAUCUGCUGGGGGUGGUGGUGGCGGGCCCAGCCGGGUGGGGCCGGCUGGGCGGGCGGCGUCCACGUCAUCAGCAGCAUCGCCAUCUUCGUCUUCCUCUGCAGUAUCGACGCCACAAUUAGGGUUCGACUCAGUACAGCAGCAGCAAAUAGGGUCUAGACAGGCAUUGCAACACCAAUUACUUAGAAAACCUGAAGGCAAUGAAACCCUUCUAGCUUAUCAAGCUGGUGCUUUUCAAGGAGUUAUGGGAGGAGGCAAUUUUGCUUCAUCUCCAGGUUCAAUGCAAAUGCCUCAACAAUCCAGAAAAUUCUUUGAUUUGGCACAGCAGCAUGCUUCCUCCCAAGACGGCCAGAAUAGGAAUCAAGCUGUUGAGCAGCAAGUUCUGAAUCCAGUUCAUCAGGCAUAUCUCCAGUUUGCUUUGCAGCAACAAAAGUCGGUUUUGGCGAUGCAGUCACAACAAGUGGCUAAGAUGGGAAUGUUGGGCCCUGCAACUAGCAAGGAUCAGGAUGUGCGGAUGGGAAAUUUAAAAAUGCAAGAACUCAUGUCCAUGCAGGCAGCUAACCAAGCUCAGGCAUCAUCAUCCAAAAUCUCAUCUGAGAAUUUUUCUCGUGGUGAAAAGCUAAUGGAGCAAGCACAAGAGCAGGUCUCUGAACAGAGGAAUGAGCAAAAGCCUCCAACCCAACCCCCUAUCAUUGGACAACUAAUGGCUUCUAAUGUUAUAAGACCUAUGCAGGCACCACAGCCUCAGCAGAGCAUCCAAAAUAUAGCAAACAACCAGCUUGCAAUGGCUGCUCAGUUGCAAGCAAUGCAGGCAUGGGCACAUGAGCGCAACAUUGAUCUGUCACUACCUGCAAAUGCAAACCUGAUGGCACAGCUCAUUCCACUCAUGCAGUCAAGGAUGGCUGCACAGCAAAAGGCCAAUGAAAGCAGUGCAGGUCCACAGGCAUCACCUGUUCCUGUAUCAAUGUCAAAGCAUCAGGUUGGUUCUCCACCUGUUGCAAGUGAGAGUUCUCCACAUGCUAAUUCCUCUAGUGAUGCAUCUGGGCAGUCUGGCCCUCCUAAAGUGAGGCAGAGUGUUUCGACUGCCCCAUCUGGCCCAAGAUCCAAUGCAGGGAUAAUCAACAACACUAACAACCUUGCAGGGCAACAGCUUGCCUUUCACAGCAGAGAGAACCAAGUGCCUCCUAGAACGGGGGGCGGCCUUGGAAAUGGAAUGCCUGUCAUGCUUCCACCGCAGUCAUCUACAAACGUGAGCCAAGGUGCAGAUCAGACUUUUCCUGCAAAAAAUGCAUUAAAUAGCCCAGAAAACUUACAAAUACAGCAUCUCAAGCAAUUAAGUCGAUCUUCUCUACAACCUGCUGGCCCUUCUAAUGAUGGAGGAUCAAUCAACCACUUCCCAUCGCAGGGUGGGCCUGCUGUCCUGAUGGCACAACCGCGUGUUGGGUUCACUAAACAACAAUUACAUGUUCUUAAAGCACAAAUACUAGCAUUUAGGCGACUGAAGAAAGGAGAAGGUACACUUCCUCAAGAGCUUCUUCGAGCUAUUGCUCCUCCUUCUCUUGAGUUGCAGCAGCAAUUACUUCCUGCAGGAGGAGUUAAUCAGGAUAGAUCUGGUGGAAAAUUUGCUGAGGACCAAGCAAGGCAUUUGGAAUCCAAUGAAAAGAAAUCUCAGGCAAAACCAUCUGUUAGUGGACAGAAUGUUGCAAAAGAGGAAGCUUUUGCGGGAGAUGAAAAAGCAACUGUCUCAGCAAGUCACAUGCAGGCCACAAUAGCUGUGAUAAAGGAACCCACAACUUCAGUGGCUGCUGGAAAAGAAGAGCAGCAAACUGCUACAUUUCCUGUUAAGUCCGACCAGGAGGUGGAACGAAGUGUUCAGAAAACACCUGUUAGAAGAGAUGUUGCAGCUGACAUGGGAAAAGCAGUUGCAUCACAGUUUCCUGUGUCUGAUGCAGCACAAGUGAAGAAACCUGCACAAACAAGCACUCCACCCCAGUCAAAAGAUACUGGCUCUGCCAGAAAGUAUCAUGGACCAUUAUUUGAUUUUCCCUUCUUUACCAGGAAGCAUGAUUCCAUUGGGUCAUCAGGGAUGAUCAACACUAACAAUAAUCUAGCAUUGGCAUAUGAUGUCAAAGAUCUUCUUUUUGAGGAAGGCAUGGAAGUGCUUAACAAGAAGAGGUCAGAAAAUCUGAAGAAAAUCAAUGGUUUACUGGCAGUAAAUCUGGAGAGGAAAAGGAUUAGACCGGAUCUUGUGUUACGGUUACAAAUUGAAGAAAAAAAGCUUAGGCUUCUCGAUUUACAGGCACGCUUAAGAGAUGAAGUAGAUCAACAACAGCAGGAGAUAAUGGCAAUGCCUGACAGGCCAUAUCGGAAGUUUGUUCGGUUAUGCGAGCGUCAACGGAUGGAGCAAGCAAGACAAGUACAGGCCUCUCAAAAAGCCAUGAGAGAGAAACAAUUGAAGUCCAUCUUCCAGUGGCGUAAGAAACUUCUUGAGGCCCACUGGGCCAUCCGUGACGCGCGAAUUGCCCGCAACAGAGGAGUUGCCAAAUACCAUGAGAGAACAUUGAGAGAAUUUUCUAAGAGAAAGGAUGAUGAUCGGAAUAAAAGGAUGGAGGCAUUAAAGAACAAUGAUGUUGAAAGGUAUCGGGAAAUGUUGCUGGAGCAGCAGACUAGCAUCCAAGGUGAUGCUGCUGAGAGAUAUGCUGUUCUCUCAUCGUUCUUGACUCAGACUGAAGAAUAUCUUCAUAAAUUGGGUAGUAAAAUAACAGCUGCCAAGAAUCAGCAGGAAGUAGAGGAGGCUGCAAAUGCUGCAGCUGCAGCUGCAAGACUGCAGGGUCUGUCAGACGAAGAAGUAAGGACAGCAGCUGCAUGUGCUGGAGGGGAAGUAAUGAUAAGAAACCAAUUUAUGGAAAUGAAUGCACCCAAGGAUAGUUCAUCUGUUAGCAAAUAUUACCAUCUUGCUCAUGCGGUCAAUGAGAGGGUCAUAAGGCAGCCUUCCAUGCUACGGGCUGGAACCUUGCGAGAUUAUCAGCUUGUAGGGUUGCAAUGGAUGCUCUCUCUGUAUAACAAUAAAUUAAAUGGAAUCCUGGCGGAUGAGAUGGGUCUUGGAAAGACUGUUCAGGUGAUGUCACUGAUUGCUUAUCUGAUGGAAUUUAAAGGAAACUAUGGUCCGCAUCUUAUAAUUGUCCCUAACGCUGUGAUGGUAAAUUGGAAGAGUGAGUUCCAUAACUGGCUUCCAUCUGUAUCAUGCAUUUUUUAUGUUGGUGGAAAAGAUCAACGGUCAAAAUUAUUUUCUCAAGAGGUUUCUGCAAUGAAAUUUAAUGUUCUUGUGACAACUUACGAAUUUAUCAUGUAUGAUCGGUCAAAACUUUCUAAGGUGGAUUGGAAGUAUAUCAUAAUUGAUGAAGCACAGAGAAUGAAGGACAGGGAAUCGGUUUUAGCCCGUGAUCUUGACAGAUAUCGCUGCCAGAGGCGCUUACUUCUCACAGGGACACCAUUACAGAAUGAUUUGAAGGAGCUUUGGUCACUUUUAAAUCUACUUUUACCCGAAGUUUUUGAUAAUCGGAAAGCAUUUCAUGAUUGGUUCUCAAAACCCUUUCAAAAGGAAGGUCCUGCACAUGAUGCAGAGGAUGACUGGCUUGAAACUGAAAAGAAGGUCAUCAUCAUUCAUCGCCUCCAUCAAAUUUUGGAGCCUUUUAUGCUUAGACGUCGUGUUGAAGAUGUGGAAGGUUCGCUUCCACCCAAGGUUUCAAUUGUUUUGAGAUGUAGAAUGUCUGCUAUUCAGAGUGCCAUUUACGAUUGGAUCAAAUCUACUGGUACUCUUCGAGUUGAUCCUGAAGAUGAGAAGCGCAGGGUCCAAAAAAAUCCAAUAUACCAGCCUAAGGUGUACAAAACUUUAAAUAACAGAUGUAUGGAACUUCGGAAGGCUUGCAAUCAUCCUUUGCUCAAUUACCCUUAUUUUAGCGACUUUUCCAAGGAUUUCCUUGUUAGAUCCUGUGGGAAGUUGUGGGUUCUGGAUAGGAUCCUCACAAAACUUCAAAGGACAGGGCAUCGGGUACUACUUUUUAGUACAAUGACAAAGCUCCUUGAUAUAGUGGAAGAGUACUUGCAAUGGCGAAGGCUGGUAUACAGGAGGAUUGAUGGAACAACUAGCCUGGAAGAUCGAGAAUCAGCUAUUGUGGACUUUAACAGCUAUAAUUCUGACUGCUUUAUCUUCUUGCUUAGCAUUCGUGCAGCUGGAAGGGGUCUUAAUCUUCAAUCUGCUGACACAGUUAUCAUAUAUGAUCCUGAUCCAAACCCUAAAAAUGAGGAACAGGCAGUGGCUAGAGCCCACCGAAUUGGACAGACAAGAGAGGUCAAAGUCAUUUAUAUGGAAGCUGUUGUUGACAAAAUUUCUAGCCAUCAGAAAGAGGAUGAAUUAAGAAGUGGAGGUUCACUUGAUCUAGAAGAUGACCUUGCUGGUAAAGAUCGAUACAUGGGGUCUAUUGAGAGCCUCAUAAGGAAUAAUAUUCAACAAUAUAAGAUUGACAUGGCUGAUGAGGUUAUCAAUGCUGGACGCUUUGACCAAAUAACAACACAUGAAGAGAGACGCAUGACUUUGGAGACAUUACUACAUGAUGAAGAGCGUUAUCAAGAAACAGUCCAUGACGUUCCAUCACUGCUAGAGGUAAAUCGCAUGAUAGCAAGGAGUGAAGAUGAAGUUGAAUUAUUUGAUCAAAUGGAUGAAGAGCUGGAUUGGACUGAAGAGAUGACAAGCUAUGACCAGGUACCUAAAUGGCUUCGGGCCAGUACAAGAGAUGUGAAUGCUGCAAUUGCUAAUUUAUCAAAGAAACCUUCAAAAAAUAUCUUGUUUGCUAGUGGUAUGGGUAUGGAAACCAAUGAAGUUGAAACUGAAAGAAAAAGGGGGCGACCCAAGGGGAAAAAGUCUCCUAACUACAAAGAAAUUGAUGAUGACAAUGGGGAAUACUCUGAGGCUAGUUCUGAUGAGAGGAAUGGAUAUUCUGCACGUGAAGAAGAGGGAGAAAUCCGAGAAUUUGAAGAUGAUGAAUCUAGUGGUGCUAUUGAGGCACCUCCCAUCAUUAAGGACCAAUCAGAAGAUGAUGGUCCAGCAUGCGAGGGUGGAUAUGAGUAUCCCCGGGCUUCAGAAAGCACUAGAAAUAAUCAGAUGGUAGAAGAAGCUGGUUCCGCUGGAUCUUCCUCUGAUAAUCGAAGAAUGACAAGAAUGGUGUCUCCUGUUUCUUCACAGAAAUUUGGGUCCCUUUCUGCAUUAGAUGCUAGACCAGAUUCUGUUACUAAAAAGCUGGCAGAUGAAUUGGAGGAAGGGGAAAUUGCAGUGUCUGGAGAUUCUCACAUGGAUCACCAGCAAUCUGGAAGUUGGAUACAUGAUCGUGAUGAAGGUGAAGAUGAACAGGUUCUGCAACCUAAGAUAAAACGGAAACGUAGUAUUCGGGUUCGUCCACGCCAUACCUUAGAAAAACCAGAGAAGUCUGGCAUUGAGGCGCAUCGUGGAGAUUCAGGUUUGAUGCCAUUCCAAGUGGACCAUAAACAUCAAUCACAGUUGAGGACUGAUGCUGAAAUGAAAACAUUUGGACAGCCCAGUGCUUCCAGGCAUGAUCAGACUGAUUCCUCAAAAGGCAGGAGAAACUUACCAUCAAGGAGAAUAGCUAAUACAACGAAGUUGCAUGCUUCACCAAAGUCUAGCAGAUUGAAUAUACAGUCUGCUCCAGCAGAAGAUGCUGCUGAACUCUCCAGAGAGAAUUGGGAUGGCAAAGUUACAAAUCGAAGUGGAAACUCUUUGUUGGGCUCUAGGAUGUCAGAUGUCAUCCAGAGAAGGUGUAAAAAUGUAAUUAGCAAGUUUCAAAGGAGAAUAGACAAGGAAGGCCAACAAAUUGUGCCUCUUCUAACAGCCUUGUGGAAGAGGAUUGAGAAUUCUAGUUGCAUGAGUGGUGCUGGAAAUAAUCUUUUGGAUUUGCGGAAGAUUGAAUUGCGUGUUGACAGAUUAGAAUACAAUGGAGUCAUGGAGCUUGUAUUCGAUGUGCAAUUUAUGUUGAAGGGCGCAAUGCAAUUCUAUGGGUUCUCGCAUGAGGUGAGAUCUGAAGCAAGGAAAGUACAUGAUCUCUUUUUUGACAUCUUGAAGAUUGCAUUCCCUGACACUGAUUUCCGAGAAGCCAGAAAUGCACUCUCUUUUUCUAGCACCAGUUCUACUCCAUCACCAAGACCAGCAGCUAUAGGACAAAGCAAGAGACACAGGAUAAUAAAUGAGGUAGAACCAGACAAUAGUUCUAGCCAUAGGCCGAUUCAACAAGGAUCAAUACCUACUGGUGAUGACACAAGGAUCAAAGUCCACUUGCCAAAGGAAACAAGGCAUGGGAGUGGGACUGGCAGUAGUCGGGAACAAUGCCAGCAGGGUGAUUCUCCACAUCCAGGGGAGUUGGUUAUCUGCAAGAAGAAGAGGAAAGACAGGGAUAAGUCGGUGGUUAAGUCAAGGACUGGAUCUAGUGGCCCAGUUUCUCCCCCUAGCAUGGGUCGUAAUAUAACGAAUCCAGUUCCAGGUUCAGUCUCUAAGGAUAUGAGAGUGGCUCAGCAGAAUUCCCAUCAACAAGGGUGGGCCAACCAACCUCAACCAUCAAAUAAUGGCGGUGGCGGUGGCGGCAGUGUUGGUUGGGCAAAUCCUGUAAAGAGAUUGAGGACAGAUGCUGGUAAAAGAAGGCCAAGCCAUUUAUGACUUUCUAAUGGAGAUAGUGUAUAAUGGGGAAAAAAAAAAGAUAAUAAUAAGUUGUUGCCGUUUAGCUGCAGAGUGUAUUAGUGGCGCUUUCUGGCCUGUAACAAGAGCAGUUAGCCCAUACUGUUAAUAUAGCGUAGGUCAUUGAUCCUCCAUUGUAUACUGCUUCCAUGAUUUGAGAAAUCCAGUAGUUUUCACCUCUGCUUGUUGCAGUUAUACUAUGCCUCUGUUACACUGUUUAUAGUUGAACUUUUCAGAGCACUAAAACUAUGGUUUAACGCACCUAUUGACAUCCCCUUCAAAGGAUUUACGAGUUACGUUCCCUUGAGAUGAUGAAUAAAUAAAAUGUAUAACGAUGUGCG
rnacentral:misc_RNA from 1 species